rnacentral:rRNA from 1 species
UGCCAGCAGCCCCGGUAAUACGCAGGCUGCUACCGUCAAUCGGAAUUACUGGGCGUAAAGCGCACGCAGGCGGUUUGUUAAGCUAGAUGUGAAAGCCCCGGGCUCAACCUGGGAUGGUCAUUUAGAACUGGCAGACUAGAGUCUUGGAGAGGGGAGUGGAAUUCCAGGUGUAGCGGUGAAAUGCGUUGAUAUCUGGAGGAACAUCAGUGGCGAAGGCGGCUCCCUGGCCAAAGACUGACGCUCAUGUGCGAAAGUGUGGGUAGCGAACAGGAUUGGAUA